ACGUUGGUUAACACCGACCAGACUACACAGCGCAAUAACCCAGAAGACGGAUAUCUUCUUGAAUUGUUUACCUUAUAGUGUAUUUCAGAAUAUGUAGGUAGGGCAUGGUAGAUCGGACAUCCUCCACCAUGAACAGAACUGUCAACUGACAUCAUCUCAUGACUUACAUUUUCCUGACUUCACGAGAAGACACAUCUCUCGAGAGGAGCCUGCAGCAGAGAUGAACAGCCAACUAAGAAAUGCUAAGCGCAAAGUUUACACUGAAGGAAGAAGCGCAGUUGCGGAAGACAGAGGAAAUGAGGAGAACUGGGAAAAUGAAUCAUCCCACUGACAUUGAAGAGGAGGCAAAGACUCGGGUACGCAUCUGGCAUUCCUUCACCCCAGGAUCACGGAAGCAGUGAAUAAUGCUGCGUCUACCAAAAUGCGAGACGGCCGAACACAGCCCUGCAUUAAGAUACAUUUCUACACAGUAAACAUAAUUUACAGAAGUAUUUGUGUGGCCACCAGCAUGUUAAUUUAGCAAUGUCUGCAGAGAAUCAGGAUGUUUGCACCGUGGUGCAGUGAGCAGACCCGAGGAAUAAAGGACAUAAUGCGAUACUUCGUCUGUUAAUUGAAUUCUUUCACACAAACUGUAACAUGUAUUGUCGAUUAACAAUUAGAUUUU